rnacentral:rRNA from 1 species
CAGUCGCCGCGGUAAUACGAAGGGUGCAAGCGUUAAUCGGAAUUACUGGGCGUAAAGCGUGCGUAGGCGGUUUGUUAAGUCUGUUGUGAAAUCCCCGGGCUCAACCUGGGAAUGGCAAUGGAUACUGGCAAGCUAGAGUGUGUCAGAGGAUGGUGGAAUUCCCGGUGUAGCGGUGAAAUGCGUAGAGAUCGGGAGGAACAUCAGUGGCGAAGGCGGCCUCCUGGGAUAAUACUGACGCUCAUGCACGAAAGCGUGGGGAGCAAACAGGAUUAGAUACCCGCGUAGUCCCUGUCUCUUAUAC